GUCUACCACCGGGAUGUUCAUAACCCUUUGUUGUCCGACUCUGUUGCCUCCGGGGCGACCCUGCCUUCGGGCGGGGGCUCCGGGUGGACACUUCAAACUCUUGCGUAACUUUGCAGUCUGAGUAAACUUAAUUAAUAAAUUAAAACUUUUAACAACGGAUCUCUUGGUUCUGGCAUCGAUGAAGAACGCAGCGAAAUGCGAUAAGUAAUGUGAAUUGCAGAAUUCAGUGAAUCAUCGAAUCUUUGAACGCACAUUGCGCCCCCUGGUAUUCCGGGGGGCAUGCCUGUUCGAGCGUCAUUUCACCACUCAAGCCUCGCUUGGUAUUGGGCAACGCGGUCCGCCGCGUGCCUCAAAUCGACCGGCUGGGUCUUCUGUCCCCUAAGCGUUGUGGAAACUAUUCGCUAAAGGGUGUUCGGGAGGCUACGCCGUAAAACAACCCCAUUUCUAAGGUUGACCUCGGAUCAGGUAGGGAUACCCGCUGAACUUAAGCAUAUCAAUAAGGCGGAGGAA
rnacentral:rRNA from 1 species